AAACUCUGAUGAUUAAAACUUUCACCAUCUUUCGACUGAAUAUUAUGAUGCUCUAUAAGUUUUUGCUGAUGUUUU